GUUGGCAGCUGGCUCUCUGCAACCUUCACAUGGUCCCUCACUAUAGCUAAGCAGGGCUGCGCCCAGUCAGUACCUAGAUGGGAGACCACAUUGAAAAGCUAGGUUGCUGCCAGAA
rnacentral:rRNA from 1 species